rnacentral:lncRNA from 1 species
AUUUUAUUGGACUGUCUGCGUAAUGUGGGCCACAGACAUUCACCCUGCUGCCCCUCAGCAGCGUACAAUAAGUUGUGUGAGUCAAGCUGUGCUCCCAGAAGGAACACAAGUCUUUAUCCAAAGAGGCUGAGACAGGGAGACUCCAGCACUUCCUGUAACAGCCGGCUCAAAUGCUUCAUUGCCCCGACUUCCUUGUACAAAAUAAAGCAAAUAAAAAUAGUUCCCUUCUUUAUUUUUUAAUUGGGACUUGUCUGGCUUCGGCAUUUAUCCGUCAGUUCUUGUUACGGCUUUCUCUGGGAGAUUAGAGAGUUCUUCGGUACCUGAUAUUUCUUCCCUAGGAAGAAGUGCAUGUGCAGAAGCAAGUCGCCCCUGGACCUUGUUAAUAAACUAAGCAAACAGAUCCCUUCCCAUCUCGCAUGUAGUAUGUUUUUUCCCCAGUUUUGGUAAAUGUUGAGGGCUCUUCACUCCCGUCACUGGAAGACAAGCAGAAAAGAAAAGAGCAGGAAACAGAAAGAAGUCCAAACCCCUGGAAAAUCAGACAGCCACACACUCCCUCCCCUUUGUCUGCAUGAAUACAUUGUUCCCCUUCCCAUUGUCUUCGUAACAAAUUUGGGGAAUUAUCCCUGGUGCCAUUUCCCAAAUCUCGGUAUCGCUUCAGAUUAAUUAUUACCAGCGAGUAGCAGAGAGGGAACUGGCUGUCAGCAUUUGAGCGAGGGGUAAAAAUGAGGGCCGGAGCGUGCAUUUAGCCACACGCACGUUUGCAGGGCAUGGGUGGGAAUGAAAGGGAGCGUUGCAGAGCGCUCCAGCAUCCUCGUGUGCUCGCCCGGCUGCUCCGCUCCGCCACAGGCACACAGCUGGCCGGGAACGAGCGAGCCUGUGGAGCUCCUGUGCAGCCCGACAGGCUGAAACGUCCCAGAGAAGCCGUACAGGCAGAUCUGCCGAGGAGGAAAAUACAACAGCCCAUCAAAGCCUGGAGGUCAUUCAUCCUCAUUCUCUGGCACUUAUCAACAAACCCAGUGAACUUUUCUUUAAUGCAGACAUGCUAAACAGCAUCGAAGACAACGGAGAUGUACAUCCAUUAACAACAGCACAGCUGUCAUUUUAGACAUUAGCAUAAAAUGUUUGGUCAGAGAGAUUUCAUGCGCUAAAUAAAAGAUUUGCAAAGAGCCUGCCUGGUGAUGAACAGCCAGGGUGGAAAAGUCAUCCCAUAGUCCUGUUUUCCAACAACCUCUUUCAUGUAGGAGGCCCCGUGAGAUCCUUCACCAGCUAUUCAUCAAGUGCCACUGAAAUGUCCACUGGAGCUCUCUGGAGAAGAGUUUGAUACCAGAUAGUUAAAUGUUUUCUGUGCAGCGACAGUUCUCAGAAACCUUUUGAGAAUACCCUCCAGCAUUUUCUGGGAUGAUUAAAUACGACUUGGAAACCACGUUUCUCCAAUGAGAUCACGAGGAAAGGAAUUUCCUUGGUACAAAAUCCCCCUCUUGUUCCCUGGAUGAUGUCAGGUGGAGAAUCAAGACACUGGAUCUAAAGGUGGCACUGGCUGAAACCUUUGCCGGCUCCCUCCCCUGCCUGGCUGCAACCACAAGUUUCUCCGGGAGAGGAGUCCAGCAGCACAGCCAGGAGGCAUCGAUUCAAACGGCAUGCGAGGAGCUCACUGAACCACCAGUGCCUCCAUUUACCAAGGAGGUGGAGUAGAGACAACACCAGCUGUCCGCCUGUCUCAAGCUGGAUUCAGGCAGCACUUCAAAAAUAGCAAGAGUUGGUUUGGUAUCAGUUGUGUAAGUCCUGUGGUCCAAACUCUCUUAGUAGCUUAUCAACAUAGGAACUACUAAGAAAAAAAGAAGUUUCUGUUUUCA